CAAUCAAUGGAAAAAGACAUUUAUGCUUGGUUCCUCUCUGUGUAGCAGGUCGAUAAUGUUGUGUUUAGUUGUAGCAGGUCGAUAAUGUUGUGUUUAGUUGUACAGGUUGAUAAUGUUGUAGCAGGUUGGUAAUGUUGUGUUUAGUUGUAUAGGUUGAUAAUGUUGUAGCAGGUUGAUAAUGUUGUAGCAGGUUGAUAAUGUCGUGUUUAGUUGUAUAGGUUGAUAAUGUUGUAGCAGGUUGAUAAUGUC